rnacentral:tRNA from 1 species
GUUAGGGUGGCAGGGCCCGGUGAUUGCAUAAAACUUAAACCUUUAUACUCAGAGGUUCAAAUCCUCUCCCUAACA